ACAUGCAAGUCGAACGGUAACAGGAAGAAGCUUGCUUCUUUGCUGACGAGUGGCGGACGGGUGAGUAAUGUCUGGGAAACUGCCUGAUGGAGGGGGAUAACUACUGGAAACGGUAGCUAAUACCGCAUAACGUCGCAAGACCAAAGAGGGGGACCUUCGGGCCUCUUGCCAUCGGAUGUGCCCAGAUGGGAUUAGCUAGUAGGUGGGGUAACGGCUCACCUAGGCGACGAUCCCUAGCUGGUCUGAGAGGAUGACCAGCCACACUGGAACUGAGACACGGUCCAGACUCCUACGGGAGGCAGCAGUGGGGAAUAUUGCACAAUGGGCGCAAGCCUGAUGCAGCCAUGCCGCGUGUAUGAAGAAGGCCUUCGGGUUGUAAAGUACUUUCAGCGGGGAGGAAGGGAGUAAAGUUAAUACCUUUGCUCAUUGACGUUACCCGCAGAAGAAGCACCGGCUAACUCCGUGCCAGCAGCCGCGGUAAUACGGAGGGUGCAAGCGUUAAUCGGAAUUACUGGGCGUAAAGCGCACGCAGGCGGUUUGUUAAGUCAGAUGUGAAAUCCCCGGGCUCAACCUGGGAACUGCAUCUGAUACUGGCAAGCUUGAGUCUCGUAGAGGGGGGUAGAAUUCCA
rnacentral:rRNA from 1 species